UACGUAGGGUGCGAGCGUUAAUCGGAAUUACUGGGCGUAAAGGGCGCGUAGGCGGCCUGCUAAGUCGGACGUGAAAUCCCUCGGCUCAACCGGGGAACUGCGUCCGAUACUGGUGGGCUCGAAUCCGGGAGAGGGAUGCGGAAUUCCAGGUGUAGCGGUGAAAUGCGUAGAUAUCUGGAGGAACACCGGUGGCGAAGGCGGCAUCCUGGACCGGUAUUGACGCUGAGGCGCGAAAGCCAGGGGAGCAAACGGG
rnacentral:rRNA from 1 species